AUAACAGGCUUGAUCCAAAGCACACUAAAGUCAGUUGGAGUCUUCCCAUUGACUUCAAUGGGCUUUGGAUCAGGCCUAGUGU
rnacentral:pre_miRNA from 1 species